CCCCAGGUGGCUCAGUGGUAAAGAGCCUGCCUGCCAGCGUGCCAGGGCAGGAGACCCAGGUUCCAUCCCUGGGUUGGGAA
rnacentral:tRNA from 1 species